rnacentral:rRNA from 1 species
GACGAACGCUGGCGGCAUGCCUAAUACAUGCAAGUCGAGCGAACAGAUGAAGUGCUUGCACUUCUGACGUUAGCGGCGAACGGGUGAGUAACACGUAAGGAAUCUACCUAUAAGCGGGGGAUAACAUUCGGAAACGGGUGCUAAUACCGCAUAAUAUCUUCUUCCGCAUGGAAGAAGAUUGAAAGACGGCUCUGCUGUCACUUAUUGAUGACCUUGCGGUGCAUUAGUUAGUUGGUGGGGUAACGGCCUACUAAGACGAUGAUGCAUAGCCGGCCUGAGAGGGUGAUCGGCCACAUUGGGACUGAGACACGGCCCAAACUCCUACGGGAGGCAGCAGUAGGGAAUCUUCCGCAAUGGGCGAAAGCCUGACGGAGCAAUGCCGCGUGAGUGAAGAAGGCCUUCGGGUCGUAAAACUCUGUUAUAAGAGAAGAACAAAUUGUAGAGUAACUGCUACAGUCUUGACGGUAUCUUAUCAGAAAGCCACGGCUAACCACGUGCCAGCCGCCGCAGUAA